rnacentral:rRNA from 1 species
CCCUCGGGUUCGGGAUAACAGUUCGAAAGGGCUGCUAACACCCGGGAUGAACUUGCGGGGAGGCAUCUUUCUGCAAGCAAAGUUUACGCCCGGGGAUGAGCCCGCGUCCCAUUAGCUAGUUGGCGGGGUAACGGCCUACCAAGGCGACGAUGGGUAGCCGGACUGAGAGGUUGGCCGGCCACACUGGGACUGAGACACGGCCCAGACUCCUACGGGAGGCAGCAGUAGGGAAUUUUCGGCAAUGGGGGAAACCCUGACCGAGCGACGCCGCGUGAGGGACGAAGGCCUUCGGGUUGUAAACCUCUGUCUUCGGGGACGAAAGAUGACGGUACCCGAGGAGGAAGCCACGGCUAACUACGUGCCAGCAGCCGCGGUAAGACGUAGGUGGCGAGCGUCGUCCGGAAUUACUGGGCGUAAAGGGCGUGUAGGCGGCCUUUUAAGUCAGGCGUGAAAACUCUGGGCUCAACCCAGAGACUGCGCUUGAGACUGGGGGGCUUGAGGACAGGAGAGGGAAGCGGAACUCCGUGUGUAGCGGUGAAAUGCGUAGAUAUACGGAAGAACACCAGUGGCGAAGGCGGCUUCCUGGACUGUCCCUGACGCUGAGGCGCGAAAGCCAGGGGAGCGAACGGGAUUAGAUACCCCGGUAGUCCUGGCUGUAAACGAUGGGUACUAGGUGUGGGGGGUAUCGACCCCCUCCGUGCCGGAGUUAACACAAUAAGU